UUAGCAUCAAAAUAUGCCUA
rnacentral:siRNA from 1 species